rnacentral:rRNA from 1 species
UACGGGGGGGGCAAGCGUUGUUCGGAAUUACUGGGCGUAAAGGGCGCGUAGGCGGCCACCGCAAGCCGGUUGUGAAAUCUCUGGGCUUAACCCAGAAAGGUCAAUCGAUACUGCGGGGCUAGAGUGCAGAAGGGGCAACUGGAAUUCUCGGUGUAGCGGUGAAAUGCGUAGAUAUCGAGAGGAACACCUGCGGCGAAGGCGGGUUGCUGGGCUGACACUGACGCUGACAGCGCGAAAGCUAGGGGAGCGAACGGG